rnacentral:tRNA from 1 species
UAGUCGCUUGGCCGAUUGGAUUAGGCAAAGGUCUACGAAGCCUUUUAGAGUGGUUCGAUCCCACUAGUGACUACCAA